rnacentral:lncRNA from 1 species
UGAAUCGGAGCUAUAGCUGCUGGCCUACGCCAGAACCACAGCAACAUGGGAUCCAAGCCGCAUCUGCAACCUACACCACAGCUCACGGCAACGCGGGAUCCUUAACCCACUGAGCAAGGCCAGGGAUUGAACCCACAACCUCAUGGUUCCUAGUCAGAUUCAUUAACCACUGAGCCACGACGGGAACUCCCCAAUUUUCUUUACAUAUUUCUGUAUUUUCCAUAUUUUUAUAAUAAGGAGACAUUACUUUUGAAAUCAGAAAAGGCAACACUUUUAAUACAGAAAACAACAUUACUACACCUAUCCAGCAGUGUGGCUUUACUGCCAAAAUGGAAUAUCAAUGAGCAAACAUCACAUCCUUCUAGGAUUUGAGAUCAUAAGAAACAGAGAAAUAGGACCUGACACUUAGAUUGAGACACUGAAAAGACCAUGUGACAGAAAGAAUUAAAAAAAAAAAAAAGAUAGCCAAUCUAAUUCUGGCAUUUCUGUGCUACCAGGGGCAGGUAUCUUUCCUUUCAGUGCUGGCUAAAAAAAACGGUGGAGAAAAUUCACAGCUUCUCGUAGUUUCUAGGAGGCCACUCUGCAAGUGGAAUUUAUCUAUGGAGAAGAGUAAAAUUAUCUACCCAAAGACACCGAUCAGGUCAGCAGACAUCAAUACUGCUGCCCUACUUCACUUCUCCAGAGAGAGUAAGUAUUACUUCAACCACAUCUUAAGUUAAAGGCAUCAGAACAAUCAAAGAGGUAGACCACCAACAGGCUAGCUGCCUGUCUAACUCCAAAGAGAGAAAACGGGAGGUCUGAGGGAACCUUCUGUCCCACCUUCGACAAAUAUAAAACAAGGAGGUUGGCCUAGGAGACUUAAGGACCCUUUCCUUUCCAUUUUGAAAUUCUGUGAUUCCAAGACACAGGUUUCGUGUCUGGCAUACAAAGUCAUCUUGUCCAAAAGAGCAGCUCAUGACAUCUUCCAAAGGCUGGUGAAACUCCUGCAACAAUGAGUAAGAGAGUGGAGCACGGUAAAGACUCGGGAGCUGCGGAGACAGACGGCUGCCAACAGGCAGCCCUGGCACCUGCAGCCCGCUGUGAGGCCUCAUCAUCACAUGGCACCAGGUGGCCUCCAGGAGUAUGACCCGCCUUCACGAGCAGCUCCGUCUGACCACCUGGGCUGACACAAAGGUAUCUAUCUGGUCCAGCCCCAAAGCUUCUGAAGGACAAAAAAGCAGGCUAUGUGGCAAGGUCAGAAAGACAGUCAAUGAGUUGGAAGUUCAAAUCCCCCCUCAGCCAAGAGGGAUGGAAACUCUGGGACUCCGGCUUCUACAUCUACAAGACGGAGAGAGACGAGCCUGGUAGAUGGGGGUGUCUCUCCAACUCUUCCGCAAGGUCCCCUCAGCCGUCAGAGGGAACAUCCUGACACACCUGCUCUAAGCGCAUAAUCCUACGUCUCACCGGGACUCAUGUUCAUCUCGCACCCCCCUCUGUUCUCAUCUACGUCCACGUACUUCUUUUCUGCACCUGCGGCACAUGGACGUUCCUGGGCUAGGAGUGAAUCAGAGGUGCAGCUGGGGCCUACGCCACAGCGGAUCUGAGCCACAUCUGCAACCGCACUGCAUCCUUAACCCACUGAGUGAGGCCAAGGAUCAAACCUGCAUCCUCACAGAGACUACACUGGGUCCUUAACCUGCUGAGCCACAAUGGGAACUCCAAUAUUUCCACAUUCUUCUCAUGUAAGUGACGGCUUAAAUAGAACAUGACUAUCCGUCAUGGAAACAACCUGAGUUCACACAUCCUCCCCACUCGCCUUGUCUUUGAGUAAAAGUGAUGCUCCCGGAAGCCACACCAUGAGUGUCCCAGAACAUCGGCUAUCUCCACACAGCCCAUCACAUAACCCUCCAGAGAACGCAUUCUCUGGUGUGAGCUGCUAGACUCCUAAGACUCACAAAAUUUUCUUCCUGGUAUAAUUUUCUAUGCCAAGAGGCAAUAAUGUAUGUCCAAGUGCCAGGUUCAUCAUAGGUCAUCAGAAGAUAGAAGCUACAUCUGAAUCUGAUUUGAUUUCUUUAUCAAAUUAAACGUGCUUUGAAAACAUGCAGCAGGAAUUCCCGUCGUAGCACAGUGGUUAACGAAUCCGACUAGGAACCAUGAGGUUGCAGGUUCGAUCCCUGGCCUGGCUCGGUGGGUUAAGGAUCCAGCGUUGCCGUGAGCUGUGGUGUAGGUCACAGACAAGGCUCAGAUCCCGAGUUGCUGUGGCUCUGACGCAGGUCGGCAGCUACGGCCCCUAUUCUACCCCUAGUCUGGGAACCUCCAUAUGCCACAGGAGUGGCCCAAGAAAUGGUGAAAAGACAAAAAAAAAGAAGAAGAAAAAAGAAAACAUAGCGCCUCAUGUCUAGAGUUUCUUGUUGAGGAAAAUGAGGUGUGGGGAAGACAGGAGAAGUAGCGAGUCAACUGCGUAAACACAACGAUAACAAAUUCAAUUAAAAAAUGAUUCCAAUAAAUAAAUUAAAUAAAACCAUCUAUAAAGGAAGACUGCCUGGGUAGGUACACGUGGUGGAAAACCGCGAGGACCUAAGAGAAAAUUUCCUACUCAAGUUUAGCACCAAGAAGUCUCUGUAGAUGAAUUUUAUGCCAUCUGUGGCAAAACACGAAAAUGCUGCCAUGAUUCCUUCUUUAUCUGAGAUGCCGAAAAUUAUAGUUACUCCAAUCUGCUGAAGUCAGGCGUCUGCUGCCUCCUACAAAAGUAUUACACUGAAUCUUUAUCUUAAACUGCCUGAUUUUACCAUGAAUUCUCAUCUUUAGGCUGCCAUAUCCUUCAGGCUACAGAUGGGACACCUAUCCUAAUUGAUUAAAUAUAGAACUGGGGGCAAGGCACUGGAUGGGGAAAGUAAAUACUGACCUUUCUAAAAACAAUUCCUUUUGUACUUGAAGAGGACGCAGCUCAAAAUAAAUAAAGCUAUCUGGAUUCAGUUCCAUAAAUAUUUGUCGAGUGCUUAUUACGGCAAAUCCUCACGUUAGGGAUUGUGAAGAAUGCACAGGAUGCAAAGUCCUUGCCAAGGUGAGUUUACAACCUGAGAGGAGAGACAGGAGGCACAUAGAAUGACUAAUGAAGAGCAGAACGGGGUAAGGCAAACAGACAGGUACAAAGACCUGAGAUGUAGAGAUGGCGGGAAAGAUCGUUUCCAGGCCAGGGCUGCUGAGAAAGUUUCAAGGAGAACACAGCACAUCUGUCGGGGCACCUCCACAUGACCGGUUCCACCCAGACUCUGUGAUACGGGAGGCAUCUGUGGGGUCCAACUGGAUGAGGAAGACUCAGACCAGAAUGGGCAACACAAAUAGCAAUGCAUCUGCUGCAAAGAGGAGGCUGCCAGUCUUACAGAAGACUGCCACAUGGAGAUAAAGAGAGCCACUGUCUCCUGAAACCCUUCGUGAGGGCCUGGCAGGACCAAGGAUGUUCUGGCUCAUCAUCACGUGCCUGGAGGGCAGGCCUCCCGAGGCUGGAGCCGAGAGAAGCAUGAAUAUCACACUCUGGACACUCAUUCAGGGACGUGGGUUGAAAAAGAGGGGUGGAAACUCUUGUGUUUCUGAACACAAGUCUAGAGAAGCAAGAGGAACAUACUUUGCUUGUUCCACUUUCCAGAAAACUACAAAUAAAAGCCUUUAAAACCUAUAACCAACACUAAAAGACAUAGGAAAGGCAGCACUCAAUUGUCCUGGUUCUUUCGGGCAAAUACAUGUCUUCUCAAGGCACAGAAUCCUACCAGCUGGUCUGUGUGAAUAUACUCCAGCACUGCCUGCAGCAGAGCCAGGAGUCCUGUCUCAUUGACAAAGCCAUGUGCAACUCCUCCUACCUCCCUCGACUGUCCACGACCCUCCCCGUCUCCAGCCAGACGCUCCCCUCCCUCCUCGAUGUGCCCAAAGCCCUUGCAGACACUGCCGGUGAACCGCUCAGCGCUGCAUCAGAACUAGGUGGACACAGGCUUUACUGCAAAGCACCUGGCACAAUGCUGGGCCCUGAGCAACCAUGAGAAAACGGCAGCAAUGUCCCCUCCAGCCGACGAGGCCCUCGAGGGCAUGCUCUCAGCUUCAUAUCCCGGGCCUAACAGUACCAGGCACGGAAACUACUUACCUGAAGAAAGGCCCAGAAGCACAGGGAGCAGAUGCAAGAGAGCGUCUCCCUUCUGGCCCAGGGCUCUGGGAGCUUCUGUGACUUCCUACCAGGCCACAGCCCUCCUCCUCCAGGGGCUCAACACAUUAGCCAGCCGUUCCUGACCUGCCAGCUCUGCUGGACACCAACACACACCACCCUCAGCGCUGAUCCUCAAAUCAGCAGAUCAACCUGCUGCAAAGGGCUGGGAGCUCUUCAUCGGGUAUGACCUGGCGGUUUGGGGCUGGGCCCUCCCGAUCCUGCAAGGAUCCCUGCUCAGCCCCACUUCUCCUCGGGCUGCCUGUCAACUUCUUCUGUGCUUCCAGAAAUAUCAGGCUGGCGUUUCUUUUUCCAGAAUAGAACAAGAAGAUAAGCAUCAGAGAGCAGCAAAUGGUGGGUGUGAGAGCAGCUGGGAGCAGUUGGGGCCAUCUUGGAAAUAGGCCGCAUUAAAAGGAUGAAUCCCAUACCCAACUGGAGAGCUGGCUCCACUUGCAGAAAAGUGAUUUAAAAAAAAAAAAAAAAAGCUGAAUUAAAAGGCUUUAAAGAUACUCUAAGUCUGACCCCUGGGUUCUGCAGAAGGGAAAUGGAGGCCCAGUGAGAUGACUGAGCUGGGGGGUGGCCUGGAUGGAACAGGAACAGCAGACAACCACUGGAUGACCCAGACGUGCUCCAGGACACCCAAGCACAUCCUAUUUAACCCUAAUCAAUUUAGAAAACAUAAAUCAUAAAAUCAGUUAAAAUACAGGCCUCUGAUUUUACAGGUACCUGAACAGAAUUAUGAAAUUUCAGUGGAACUUACAACUUCACCUAUUUUACCCAGAUGCUUAAGACUCACAUAACAAACCUCCCCAAGGCCCACUUGGUGCCUGCACAGUUUGUAAAGGGCCCUUUUUUUUUUAAGGCCCGCACCUGCAGCAUAUGGAGAUCCCCAGGCUAGGGGUUGAAUUGGAGCUGUAGCUGCUGGCCUAUGCCACAGCAAUGUCAGAUUCGAACUGCAUUUGCAACCUACACCACAGCUCAUGGCAACGCUGGAUCCUUAACCCACUGAGCAAGGCCAGGGAUCGAACCGGCGACCUCAUGGAUCCUAGUCAGAUUUGUUUCCGAUGAGCCACAAGAGGAACUCCUGUCAAGUACCCUUUUGAAAAACAAAAAGCCCUAGACGAGCAGAAACCUGCUUCCUUAGCUGGUGGCAGCAGAACACCAGGCAUCUAGUACAAGAAGCAAGAGGUCUCCAGUCAGCUCUGUAACCCUGAGCUCUGCAAAAGCCAAGCAGAGUCGAGCAAAACCUGUGAAACACAGGUUAACAGCUGGGACCAGCUGCUGUCACUGGCAGCCCUGCUCUCAGGCCCUUCCAAGGUGAGGGUGUCUUUUCCUAAUCCAGACACUCUCAGCACGUAGGGACCAGAAUUCCACUGACCUGCUGGGAGUGGGGAGAGAGGGUGGGAGGCCAGUAGCAUUAGCAAUGAACGGGGGCUUUCAACCCUCCCUUUCCUGAGAGCUCAGAUGAGUUUACAGUUAGCACUUUCUUGAGGCCACAACAGGUGGUUUCUUUUAAUGGGGAGCAGAAUUUGACAUAUUGAAAGGCAAACAGAACGUCUGAACACUGGCGGGGGGAAUACAGGUUUGUAGUGCUGAGGUCAACUCGCAGCAGGGCACGGUGAGAUAGGCCCGUGCGGCGCAGUGCUCGCCCCUGUGUGAAUCCGAUCCGGGCGGGCAGCCCCGGCGCCCCUGCGAGGAAGACACAGGUGCCACUUACCACUCUGCGCGCUUCCCACGCACACAGGAGGAAACACGUGCUCCUGAUCCAUGUGCUCCCUAAGCGCUAACCCGCCUUGUCUGUUACGGCCAUUUGUUGAUGAGCCAUUGUGUCGAGCCCAGCAUUUUGAGCAAAGGUGAAAGCAUCUCCUCUGCUUCUGGUAUCAUGAGGGAGGCAGACACGUAAAUAACCAGUUACAGAAUAUAAAGCAGAACCAAGUGCUAUAAAUCCACCAACUACCACAUACCGCUAUGCCCAGUGUCCAGGACAAGUGAGAAGCAAUACUGGUGCUUUUCCAGCACUGCCUCACCCAUUUCUUUCAAAACUGCUACUGAGACCAAUAUUUUCGCCCUCAUAAGUGACACAACUGAGGCUCAGAGACUUUAAGUGACUCCAAAGCAUACAAAUAGCAACAGCAACCCCAGUGGUUAUGGAGCAGUAAAUAGGACGGACACUGUGCUGCUAAUACACCUCA